AUUGAACGCUAGCGGCAUGCUUAACACAUGCAAGUCGAACGGCAGCGCGAGGAGCUUGCUCCUUGGCGGCGAGUGGCGGACGGGUGAGUAACGCGUAGGAAUCUGCCUUAUAGUGGGGGCAACUCGGGGAAACUCGAGCUAAUACCGCAUAAUAUCUACGGAUCAAAGUGGGGGAUCUUCGGACCUCACGCUAUAAGAUGAGCCUGCGUCAGAUUAGCUUGUUGGUGGGGUAAAGGCCUACCAAGGCAACGAUCUGUAGCUGGUCUGAGAGGAUGAUCAGCCACACUGGGACUGAGACACGGCCCAGACUCCUACGGGGGGCAGCAGUGGGGAAUAUUGGACAAUGGGCGAAAGCCUGAUCCAGCAAUGCCGCGUGUGUGAAGAAGGCCUUUCGGGUUUGUAAAAGC
rnacentral:rRNA from 1 species